GGCUAUAGCCUUGGUGGGGGGCGUGGGCGAAGUUGGUCCGCGGGACUCGGAAUGGCACCAUACUUGGCGGGCGGCCUCCGUGUGCCAAAAAUGGGCCACGGGCACAGCCGCGCCCAAAAAUCAGCCCCGGAAGGUGGGGGUCCCAAGACCCCCCAGGGGAAAAAUGGCCAAAAAAGGGGUGGGCUAUAGCCUUGGUGGGGGGUGUUGGAAAAGUUUGUCCGCGGGACUUGGAAUGGCACCAGACUUGGCGGGCGGCCUCCGUGUGCCAAAAAUAGGCCACGGGCACAGCCGCGCCCAAAAAACAGCCCCCGAAGUUUGGGGUCCCCAGGCCCCCCCGCGGAAAAAUGGCCAAAAAACGGGUGGGCUAUAGCCUUGGUGGGGGGCGUGGGCGAAGUUCGUCCGCGGGACUCGGAAUGGCACCAGACUUGGCGGGCGGCCUCCGUGUGCCAAAAAUAGGCCACGGGCACAGCCGCGCCCAAAAAACCGCCCCCGAAGUUCGGGGUCCCAAGACCCCCCAGCGGAAAAAUGGCCAAAAAACGGGUGGGCUAUAGCCUUGGUGGGGGGCGUGGGCGAAGUUUGUCCGCGGGACUCGGAAUGGCACCAGACUUGGCGGGCGGCCUCCGUGUGCCAAAAAUAGGCCACGGGUACAGCCGCGCCCAAAAAACAGCCCCGAAGUUCGGGGUCCCAAGACCCCCCAGCGGAAAAAUGGCCAAAAAACGGGUGGGCUAUAGCCUUGGUGGGGGGCGUGGGCGAAGUUCGUCCGCGGGACUCGGAAUGGCACCAGACUUGGCGGGCGGCCUCCGUGUGCCAAAAAUAGGCCACGGGCACAGCCGCGCCCAAAAAACAGCCCCCGAAGUUCGGGGUCCCAAGACCCCCCAGCGGAAAAAUGGCCAAAAAACGGGUGGGCUGUAGCCUUGGUGGGGGGCGUGGGCGAAGUUCGUCCGCGGGACUCGGAAUGGCACCAGAAUUGGUGGGCGGCCUCCGUGUGCCAAAAAUAGGCCACGGGCACAGCCGCGCCCAAAAAACAGCCCCCGAAGUUCGGGGUCGCAAGACCCCCCAGCGGAAAAAUGGCCAACAAACGGUGGGCUAUAGCCUUGGUGGGGGGCGUGGGCGAAGUUCGUCCGCGGGACUCGGAAUGGCACCAGACUUGGCGGGCGGCCUCCGUGUGCCAAAAAUAGGCCACGGGCACAGCCGGGCCCAAAAAACAACCCCCGAAGUUCGGGGUCCCAAGACCCCCCAGCGGAAAAAUGGCCAAAAAACGGUGGGCUAUAGCCUUGGUGGGGUGCGUGGGCGAAGUUCGUCCGCGGGACUCGGAAUGGCACCAGACUUGGCGGGCGGCCUCCGUGUGCCAAAAAUAGGCCACGGGCACAGCCGCGCCCAAAAAACAGCCCCCGAAGUUCGGGGUCCCAAGACCCCCCAGCGGAAAAAUGGCCAAAAAACGGUGGGCUAUAGCCUUGGUGGGGGGCGUGGGCGAAGUUCGUCCGCGGGACUCGGAAUGGCACCAGACUUGGCGGGCGGCCUCCGUGUGCCAAAAAUAGGCCACGGGCACAGCCGCGCCCAAAAAACAGCCCCCGAAGUUCGGGGUCCCAAGACCCCCCAGCGGAAAAAUGGCCAAAAAACGGGUGGGCUAUAGCCUUGGUGGGGGGCGUCGGCGAAGUUCAUCCGCGGGACUCGGAAUGGCACCAGACUUGGCGGGCGGCCUCCGUGUGCCAAAAAUAGGCCACGGGCACAGCCGCGCCCAAAAAACAGCCCCGAAGUUCGGGGUCCCAAGACCCCCCAGCGGAAAAAUGGCCAAAAAACGGGUGGGCUAUAGUCUUGGUGGGGUGCGUUGGCGAAGUUCGUCCGCGGGACUCGGAAUGGCACCAGACUUGGCGGGCGGCCUCCGUGUGCCAAAAAUAGGCCACGGGCACAGCCGCGCCCAAAAAACAGCCCCGAAGUUCGGGGUCUCGGAAAAAUGGCCAAAAAACGGGUGGGCUAUAGCCUUGGUGGGGGGCGUGGGCGAAGUUCGUCCGCGGGACUCGGAAUGGCACCAGACUUGGCGGGCGGCCUCCGUGUGCCAAAAAUAGGCCACGGGCACAGCCGCGCCCAAAAAACAGCCCCCGAAGUUCGGGGUCCCAAGACCCCCCAGCGGAAAAAUGGCCAAAAAACGGAUGGGCUAUAGCCUUGGUGGGGGGCGUGGGCGAAGUUCGUCCGCGGGACUCGGAAUGGCACCAGACUUGGCGGGCGGCCUCUGUGUGCCAAAAAUAGGCCACGGGCACAGCCGCGCCCAAAUAAAAGCCCCCGAAGUUCGGGGUCCCAAGACCCCCCAGCGGAAAUAUGGCCAAAAAACGGGUGGGCUAUUACCCUUGUGGGGGGCCUGGGCCAAAUUCCUCCCUGGGACUCCGAAUGGCACCAGACUUGGCGGGCGGCCUCCGUGUGCCAAAAAUAGGCCACGGGCACAGCCGCGCCCAAAAAACAGCCCCCGAAGUUCGGGGUCCCAAGACCCCCCAGCGGAAAAAUGGCCAAAAAACAGGUGGGCUAUAGCCUUGGUGGGGGGCGUGGGCGAAGUUCGUCCGCGGGACUCGGAAUGGCACCAGACUUGGCGGGCGGCCUCCGUGUGCCAAAAAUAGGCCACGGGCACAGCCGCGCCCAAAAAACAGCCCCCGAAGUUCGGGGUCCCAAGGCCCCCCAGCGGAAAAAUGGCCAAAAAACGGGUGGGCUAUAGCCUUGGUGGGGGGCGUGGGCGAAGUUCGUCCGCGGGACUCGGAAUGGCACCAGACUUGGCGGGCAGCCUCCGUGUGCCAAAAAUAGNNN
rnacentral:lncRNA from 1 species